rnacentral:tRNA from 1 species
UAAGAAGAGGUGUAAUUGGGAGCACAAGGAGUUUUGAUCUCCUAAGAAUAGGUUCAAAUCCUUUUUUCUUAA